AAGAAUUCCGUUCUGAAUUCGUGUUUAUUUCCCAAGUGUUAGUGUGAGCCAUUUAUUUGUCGUGCAAAGCGGUAAUUAUGCCUGCAUGGUUGUGAAGUGGUUUUAGUCAUUCGAAAUGUAUUCCCAGACAGCUUCCUUAAUUGUUGGGACCGAAAGAUUGUUGUACGAAUCUACGAAUAACUCUCGUAUUUGUACAAUUUCUGAAAUAUCAAUAUAUGACAAAGUCAGUGCCGUGUUACUAAACUUAACUUUGGAAAUACUGUUAUAAUAUAUGUGAUCAGGAGAAUUAUUAAAGCAUGGUGCCUCGUAUGGUUGCCGUCUUGAAGCAGUCAAUAUACAGUAUACAUAUAUGCGCUUUGGAGUUGGGGGUAAGUAGACAAGUGUUUUGUGUCGUAGGUAAUGAUAUCUUGACAGCAUCGUCGCCGAAAUAAUUUGUUCCAAAUUUAUAUAUUCCAGUACUUAUAUCUAUUAUGAUAGUUAAUUAAACACGGCUUGUGGAAAGCAUGCCAGUUUGAAUGGAAAUUAAAUAUACGCCAAUUUUAGUCGACAAAAUAUGAAUUAAGAUUUUUUACUUGUCUAAGGGAGUUAAGAGUAAGACAAGUG